rnacentral:rRNA from 1 species
CCAAUCGAACCCGGAGAUAGCUGGUUCUCCUCGAAAUAGCUUUAGGGCUAGCCUCAUGAGAGUCUUAUGGAGGUAGAGCACUGAAUUGCCUAGGGGGCGUCAAAGCUUACCAAAGCAUAUCAAACUCCGAAUGCCAUCAAGAUGAUUCAUGGGAGUCAGACCAUACGAGAUAAGUUGGAUGGUCAAAAGGGAAAGAGCCCAGACCUACAGCUAAGGUCCCAAAGUACGUGUUAAGUGGAAAAGGAUGUGGGGAUUCUAAGACAACUAGGACGUUGGCUUAGAAGCAGCCAUUCAUUGAAAGAGUGCGUAAUAGCUCACUAGUCGAGAGUCCCUGCGCCGAAAAUGUCCGGGGCUGAAACACGACACCGAAGCUUAGGAAUGUGUAAACAUUGGUAGAGGAGCAUUGCUGGCGGGAUGAAGCCAUACCGUAAGGAGUGGUGGACUGCUAGGAAGAGAGAAUGCCGGAAUGAGUAGCGAGAUGAAGGUGAGAAUCCUUCAGGCCGAAUAUCUAAGGUUUCCAGAGUAAAGCUGAUCUGCUCUGGGUAAGUCGGGACCUAAGGCGAGGUCGAAAGACGUAGUCGAUGGAUAACAGGUUGAAAUUCCUGUACCGCAUAUAAACAGAACUGUGGGGACACAGACAGGGAAUGGAAUCCGGGAAUGGAAAUCCCGGUGCAAGCGAGGUAGGAGUGCUGUUGGCAAAUCCGCAGCACGAUCUGAAGACGUGACGCGUACCGAACAUAAGUAGGGAAGUCCAGGCCCCUGGCUGUCAAGAAAAGCCGCUAUUGUUUUAUAUGUGCCCGUACCGCAAACCGACACAGGUGGAUGAGGAGAGAAUCCUAAGGCCGACGGGAGAAGUAUUGUUAAGGAACUCGGCAAAAUGACUCCGUAACUUCGGGAGAAGGAGUGCCAUGUAAAAGUGGCCGCAGAGAAUUGGCCCAAGCAACUGUUUAGCAAAAACACAGGUCUAUGCAAAACCGAAAGGUGAGGUAUAUGGGCUGACGCCUGCCCGGUGCUGGAAGGUUAAGGGGAGAGGUUAGCGCAAGCGAAGCUUUGAACUUAAGCCCCAGUAAACGGCGGCCGUAACUAUAACGGUCCUAAGGUAGCGAAAUUCCUUGUCGGGU